UGUAUCAUCUGCUGUCCGGUGUCAAAUGUCACAAUGAAUGGUCUAUUCUCCCCUGUGAACUUGUUCUGUGGUCAUAACUGUAUACAGGAAUCACUUUGGAAUCCUCAAAACCCCCGAGCCUUGCGUUAAACCCCACGAGUAUUUAGAGUUUUACAACUACGAAGCUGAAUGUCGAGAGAAAAAGACAAAGAUUCCCAAAAAAUGGUCUCAAAGUACCUCCUUGUUUAAGUUGGCUGCCAGGCAAAUCAGCUCAUCUCCAGCAGAACAGAAGCUGCCUUUUCAGGGAAGCGUGGCAGCUGCCGGCGAACACAAAGCAGCUCUGUGAUGGUUGAAGCCAGCAAAGAAAAGCGCCCCCUCCGAGUGGAAUCACAGGAAGGAAACCUCCGUGGGCAGCAGGAGCAAGUGCAAUCCCUGGAGACGAGCCGAAGGGGCCCGAGGCCCCGAGAAGGGCAGGAUGCGAUGCUGGGUGUGUGACCUCAGCCAUGGAAGGGCCACCUGCCACCGGGGGGCUGGGCCGUCGGGCCUUUGGCUGUGGAGGGAAAAGAGUGGCCACUUGCUGGAGCUGGGAACGUGCAGUGAUGAGCACUAGGACAAGAGGACCGUGACAAACAGACAUAGAAGUUCUGGAGACUGGGGAAGUCCAAGAUCAAGGCUCCAGCAGAUUCAGUAUCUGGACAGCAUUGAGUUCAAUGCCUCAAAAUUGCUGCGUUCUCCUUCUGCCAGUGCCCAGAGAUGCUCCCCACACCACACUGCGCUGCCAGGGGAUGUUAGAGGUGAUUCAAGACAGUUUUUCCUACCUCUUCAGUGCCUCUUUCAGCAAUAUGAAGUUAAAACCAGCCACACACUAUCUCAUGGCAGAAGACACCACUUAACCCAGGCAUCCCACAUGGAGGCUGUGUGUACUGGCAGAUUUUUAAUGACCAGGACCACUAUGGAUCAUAGAACAACUUGGAAGCUAGUUCUCUUUUUGAGCAUUGACAUCCAUCAAUCUUUCGCCUUUACCUAAUGCUGCAUUCAAAAGAAAUAUGUGAAGCAGCAGCAAAUUAAAGAAGACCAAAAUCUGAACC